rnacentral:RNase_P_RNA from 1 species
CCGGCAAGCUGCCUCAUCGCCCCGAUCACUCGGGGAGGAAAGUCCGGGCAACACAGAGCGGCGUACUUCCUAACGGGAAGGCUCCGGCUGUAAAACGCUGGAGACAGACAGUGCCACAGAAAGUAAACUACCCCGAUUCGUCGGGGAAAGGUGAAAGGGCGAGGUAAGAGCUCACCGGCCGCACAGCAAUGUGAGGCGCACGGUAAACCUUACGCGUUGAAAGGUCAAAUAGGUCCUGUUCCGAAAGGGUUGGCGGCUCGUCAAUUGCCUCGGCAGGCAGGAUGGGUAGACUGAUCGAUCCCUGUUGCGAAACAGGGGCCAGAUAAAUGGUGAGGACUCCGGACACGGAGCACAGAACCCGGCUUACAGGCUUGUCCAAUUU